AUUUCUCUAGUAUAAAUUAGUACAAUUGACUUCCAAUUAAUUAGUUUCGGUAUGAUCCGAAGAGAAAUA
rnacentral:tRNA from 1 species